GGAAGGUCCGGGCGUUAUCCGGAUUUAUUGGGUUUAAAGGGAGCGUAGAUGGAUGUUUAAGUCAGUUGUGAAAGUUUGCGGCUCAACCGUAAAAUUGCAGUUGAUACUGGAUGUCUUGAGUGCAGUUGAGGCAGGCGGAAUUCGUGGUGUAGCGGUGAAAUGCGUAGAUAUUAGGAGGAACACCAGUGGCGAAGGCGGAUUGCUGGACGACAACUGACGGUGAGGCGCGAAAGCGAGGGGAGCAAACAGGAUUAGAUACCCUGGUAGUCCACGCUGUAAACGAUGAAUACUAGGUGUGCGGGGACUGACCCCCUGUGUGCCGCAGCUAACGCAAUAAGUAUUCCACCUGGGGAGU
rnacentral:rRNA from 1 species